rnacentral:rRNA from 1 species
AGAGUUUGAUCCUGGCUCAGGAUGAACGCUGGCGGCGUGCCUAAUACAUGCAAGUCGAGCGGGAACCUCUGGAUUCGUCUGGAGGGGAGAGCGGCGGACGGGUGAGUAACACGUGGGUGACCUGCCCCGAAGACGGGGACAACCACUGGAAACGGUGGCUAAUACCCGAUGUGCUCGGCGAUUCGUUUUGCCGAGUAAAGCUCCGGCGCUUCGGGAUGGGCCUGCGGCCUAUCAGCUAGUUGGCAGGGUAACGGCCUACCAAGGCGAAGACGGGUAGGGGGCGUGAGAGCGUGUUCCCCCACACUGGCACUGACACACGGGCCAGACUCCUACGGGAGGCAGCAGUCGGGAAUAUUGCACAAUGGGCGAAAGCUAGAUGCAGCAACGCCGCGUGGGCGAUGAAGGCUCUCGGGUCGUAAAGCCCUUUUCUGGGGGAAGAGAGAAAGGACGGUACCCCAGGAAUAAGCGUCGGCUAACUACGUGCCAGCAGCCGCGGUAAAACGUAGGACGCGAGCGUUAUCCGGAUUUACUGGGCGUAAAGUGCGUUGAGGCGGUUCCGUAAGUUGGACGUGAAAGCCCCCGGCCUAACUGGGGGAGGUCGUUCAAUACUGCGGAACUUGAGGGCAGCAGAGGGAGGUGGAAUUCCCGGUGUAGUGGUGAAAUGCGUAGAUAUCGGGAGGAACACCAGUGGCGAAGGCGGCCUCCUGGGCUGUUCCUGACGCUGAAGGCGAAAGCUAGGGGAGCAAACGGGAUUAGAAACCCCGGUAGUCCUAGCUGUAAACGAUGGAUGCUAGGUGUGGGGGGUAUAGAUUCCCUCCGUGCCGAAGCUAACGCGUUAAGCAUCCCGCCUGGGGAGUACGGCCGCAAGGCUAAAACUCAAACGAAUUGACGGGGACCCGCACA